rnacentral:rRNA from 1 species
GAUGAACGCUAGCGACAGGCUUAACACAUGCAAGUCGAGGGGCAGCAGGGGAGUAGCAAUACUCCCGCUGGCGACCGGCGCACGGGUGAGUAACACGUAUGCAACCUGCCCUUGUCAGGGGGAUAAGCGGAAGAAAUUCCGUCUAAUACCGCAUAAUGCUGCGGGGAGACAUCUCCCUGCAGCCAAAGAUUUAUCGGACAAGGAUGGGCAUGCGGCGCAUUAGCUUGUUGGCGGGGUAACGGCCCACCAAGGCGACGAUGCGUAGGGGUUCUGAGAGGAAGGUCCCCCACACUGGUACUGAGACACGGACCAGACUCCUACGGGAGGCAGCAGUGAGGAGUAUUGGUCAAUGGCCGGGAGGCUGAACCAGCCAAGUCGCGUGAGGGAAGACGGUCCUAUGGAUUGUAAACCUCUUUUGUCAGGGAGCAAAAACUGCCACGUGUGGCAGGAUGAGAGUACCUGAAGAAAAAGCAUCGGCUAACUCCGUGCCAGCAGCCGCGGUAAUACGGAGGAUGCGAGCGUUAUCCGGAUUUAUUGGGUUUAAAGGGUGCGUAGGCGGACAGUUAAGUCAGCGGUAAAAUUGAGAGGCUCAACCUCUUCCCGCCGUUGAAACUGAUUGUCUUGAGUGGGCGAGAAGUAUGCGGAAUGCGUGGUGUAGCGGUGAAAUGCAUAGAUAUCACGCAGAACUCCGAUUGCGAAGGCAGCAUACCGGCGCCCAACUGACGCUGAAGCACGAAAGCGUGGGUAUCGAACAGGAUUAGAUACCCUGGUAGUCCACGCAGUAAACGAUGAAUACUAAUUGUUCGGGUCAAAUGAGAUCUGAGUGAUACAGCGAAAGCGUUAAGUAUUCCACCUGGGGAGUACGCCGGCAACGGUGAAACUCAAAGGAAUUGACGGGGGCCCGCACAAGCGGAGGAACAUGUGGUUUAAUUCGAUGAUACGCGAGGAACCUUACCCGGGCUCAAACGACACAGGAAUGAUCUGAGAAAUCAGGCAGUCCUCCGGGACCUGUGUCGAGGUGCUGCAUGGUUGUCGUCAGCUCGUGCCGUGAGGUGUCGGCUUAAGUGCCAUAACGAGCGCAACCCCCAUCGACAGUUGCCAGCAGGUCAAGCUGGGCACUCUGUCGAGACUGCCGGCGCAAGCUGUGAGGAAGGCGGGGAUGACGUCAAAUCAGCACGGCCCUUACGUCCGGGGCGACACACGUGUUACAAUGGCAGGUACAGCGGGAAGCCACCUGGCGACAGGGAGCGGAACCCGAAAGCCUGUCUCAGUUCGGAUUGGAGUCUGCAACUCGACUCCAUGAAGCUGGAUUCGCUAGUAAUCGCGCAUCAGCCACGGCGCGGUGAAUACGUUCCCGGGCCU